rnacentral:rRNA from 1 species
UACGGGGGGGGCAAGCGUUGUUCGGAAUCAUUGGGCGUAAAGCGCGUGUAGGCGGCUGAGUAAGUCUGCUCUGAAAGCCCGGGGCUCAACCCCGGGAGGCGGGUGGAUACUGUCAAGCUUGAGUCCGGAAGAGGAGUGUGGAAUUCCUGGUGUAGCGGUGAAAUGCGCAGAUAUCAGGAGGAACACCAAUGGCGAAGGCAGCACUCUGGGACGUGACUGACGCUGAGACGCGAAAGCGUGGGGAGCAAACAGG